rfam:Oryza rufipogon genomic scaffold, chr10
AAUAAAUUUAUCUACGGGUUUCUGUGUCUAACAUUUGAUAUCCGUUUUAUUUAAAUUUUUUUAUGAUUAGUACUUUUAUUGUUAUUAGAUAUAAAACAUGAAUAAUAAUUUAUGCGUGACUUAUUUUUAAAUUUUUUUCAUAAUUUUUUUUAAAUAAGACAGACGAUCAAAUGUUGGACACAGAAGCCCAGAAAUGAACUUAUU